rnacentral:lncRNA from 1 species
AUUUUGAGGUAUAAUAUAGUUUGCUAUUUUUUUUACUUAAUUAGCUUAAGUUUUUAUAUCUUUUUUCUUAUAUUCCUAAGAAAUAUGAGUAUAUAUAAUAAUAACAUAACAUAAAUCUUGAGAGUAAAAAAACUUAAUUUAAUAGCUGCAUUUUUUAUCCCGAAUUUUUAAUUGAUGAACAAAUAAUAUCCGUAUAAAUCACCUACCCGAAUAAUUAGCAAAUCUGUUUUUUAGCCACAUUUUUCAACGAAUUUAAAAAUUAGAAAACAAAUUUUAUCCGAAUUAUACCCGUACUGAAUUUUUGCCGAAUCCGAAUUAACUAACUAUGGUUAUACUAGCUAGAUAACAUAUUUUUAAAAAUAAAAGUGGAAUAUUAGUGAUAGUAAAUAAAUAGUGUUACGAUCUAUCAAACUUUUUAGCCUUUGAAUGCCUAGAAUCAAGUGGUGGUAGCUGGUAUAAUAUUGAUUCAAGAGCAAGAAAGUUUUUUUUUUCUUUUUUUUUGAGAGAUAGGUAGCACGCUAUCCGCUUCGUUUAUUUCAUUUAGAAUUUGAGUCUCGGAUACCAACCACCAAGCCUUUUGCCAUUUGCUCUAGGAACGGUCGGUAAGAGCAAGAAAGUUGAUAAUACAUAUUAUUCAUUUGCUAUUAAUAGUAUUCCAGGUAAAGCCAUAUUUUAUUUUUUUUCCGUUAAGACUAGCCAAAAAUUUUAAGGCUCUAUUCGAAUGCACAAAUAUCUAAUUUGCUGUAUCUAUUUGAUUUACUCUAAUAGUAUGUAAUGUAUGAUUGAUAAAUAUUCUGAUUAAAUGUCUAAAAUAAAUACCAUAUUCAGCAUUUUAAAUCUUUUUUUCGGAAUAAUUUAAAUCACUUU